UGAGUAACAAGUAUUCAACCUGCCGAUGACUUGGGGAUAGCCUUUUGAAAGAAAGAAUUAUAACCGAAGGCAUAGGUUUUUUGCCAUGGUAGAAAUAUUUAAGAAAUUUGGUCAUCGAUAGGCAUGCGUUUCCUUAGGCAGUUGGCGGGGUAACGGCCCCCCCCCAACCCGAGGAUGGAUAGGGGUUUGAGAGGAAGGUCCCCCACAUUGGUACUGAGACACGGACCAAACUCCUACGGGAGGCAGCAGUGAGGAAUAUUGGUCAAUGGGCGCGAGCCUGAACCAGCCAAGUCGCGUGAGGGAUGAAGGUUUUAUGGAUUGUAAACCUUUUUUAUAAGGGAAUAAAGUGCGGGACGUGUCCCGUUUUGCAUGUUCCAUGUGAAUAAGGACCGGCUAAUUCCGUG
rnacentral:rRNA from 1 species